rnacentral:tRNA from 2 species
GGGGGCGGAUGGGGUACUGGUGUCCUUCCCGGUCUUCAAAACCGAGCGUUCGGCGUGGUGCGUCGAAGGUGGGUUCGAUUCCCACACGCUCCCGCCA